AUUGAACGCUAGCGGCAGGCCUAACACAUGCAAGUCGAGCGAGCGGCGGACGGGUGAGUAAUGUAUGGGGACUGCCCGAUAGAGGGGGAUAACUACUGGAAACGGUGGCUAAUACCGCAUACUAUCGGAUAACCCAUAUGGGAUUAGCUAGUAGGUGGGGUAAAGGCUCACCUAGGCGACGAUCCCUAGCUGGUCUGAGAGGAUGAUCAGCCACACUGGGACUGGGAAACGGCCCAGACUCCUACGGAGGCAGCGGUGGGAAUUUUUGCACAUGGGGCGCAAGCAUGAUGCACCCAUGCGGGGUGUAUGAAGAGGGCCUUGGGUUUGUAAAGUACUUUCAGCGAGGAGGCGUUACCCGCAGAUGAAGCACCGGCUAACACCGUGCCAGCAGCCGCGUAAUUC
rnacentral:rRNA from 1 species